UGCCGACCGGGUGUCUGCACUAAGUUUGGUAUCAAUAUGGUGACCUCCUGGGGAGCAGGGGGCCACCAGGUUGCCUAAGGAUGGGUGAACUGGCCCAGAUCAGAAAGGGAGCAGGUCAGAACUCCCACACUGACUGGUAGUGGGACUGUGCCUGGGAA
rfam:Homo sapiens chromosome 15, GRCh38 reference primary assembly.